GUCCCUGUAGCGCAAUGGAUAGCGUGCCGGCCUCCGAAGCCGAAGGUGAGAGUUCGAUCCUCUCCAGGGACA
rnacentral:tRNA from 1 species